GAGUAAUAUAGUUCUGGAUUUAGUGAGUGCUAGCAGGUGUGGAUCUUACUAGUUUAAAUAAGAUGACAAAGCUUGGACUAUGAAUUCCUCUGUUAUAUUUCAUGUCUGGUUGCUAGUGGCUGUGCUUUGAAUCAUAUGUUUUGAGUUGCACAAGUGACCGAAUUAUAUCUGAUAUGAAAAUUGUCAUUAAGAUUU